rnacentral:lncRNA from 1 species
GGACUUUGAAUUCCUCUACAAAAAGAGACCAAAAUAUUGCAUAUACCUAACUAAACUUUCCUUUUUAUUUAAAAAGCUUUUGUUCUUUUGAGUGGUCAUGUUAAGAGAAGUUAUAAGGAGAUCCAUGUCAAAACUUUCACUAUGAUCCCUUCACAAGUUCUUAUAUUUAUUGAAAUAUGGUUAUUGCUUUGAUUAGAAUAUCCUAAAGCUUAGACAUUCAUUGUGAAAGAUCUGAAGUGGGCUGUAUAGAAGAACAGUAAGCACUGGAAAUCUGCUUUACUUACUUGCAGUAACUUCUACAAGAUGCUGGGCAACUGUUCAAAAAGACACUUAUAGAGGGAAGAGAGAUUCAUCAGCUAAGUAUCCAGCAGUAAUGUUCACAUAGUAAACCCCAUCAAAAUUGAGAGUGUAAGUGAAGUAUCCAUUAUUGAUAAAGAUCAGUUUGAUCUUUAAGUUGUUUUUUUUGAUCUUUGAUCUUAAGGUUUCUGGAGGGAGAAGAGACCAAUGUGAAGUGAUGCUGCUACCAACUGAUAGUUGCAAUGCUAUAGCCAUUUUCUGAUACUGUGCUCAUUCCUAUUAAAAAAAAAAAUAAAUCUCAGUUCCUUAAAAAUUAAGAAA